UACGUAGGGUGCAAGCAUUAUCCGGAGUGACUGGGCGUAAAGAGUUGCGUAGGUGGUUUUAUAAGCGAAUAGUGAAAGCUAGCGGCUCAACCGUAUAGAUUAUUGUUCGAACUGUAAAACUCGAGAAUGGUAGAGGUAACUGGAAUUUCUUGUGUAGGAGUGAAAUCCGUAGAUAUAAGAAGGAACACCAAUGGCGUAGGCAGGUUACUGGACCAUUUCUGACACUGAGGCACGAAAGCGUGGGGAGCGA
rnacentral:rRNA from 1 species